CAGUAGCCGCGGUAAUACGUAGGUGGCAAGCGUUGUCCGGAAUUAUUGGGCGUAAAGGGCUCGCAGGCGGUUCCUUAAGUCUGAUGUGAAAGCCCCCGGCUCAACCGGGGAGGGUCAUUGGAAACUGGGAAACUUGAGUGCAGAAGAGGAGAGUGGAAUUCCACGUGUAGCGGUGAAAUGCGUAGAGAUGUGGAGGAACACCAGUGGCGAAGGCGACUCUCUGGUCUGUAACUGACGCUGAGGAGCGAAAGCGUGGGGAGCGAACAGGAUUAGAUACCCGAGUAGUCCCUGUCUCUUAUAC
rnacentral:rRNA from 1 species